UUACGGGAGGCAGCAGUGGGGAAUAUUGGACAAUGGGGGCAACCCUGAUCCAGCAAUGCCGCGUGAGUGAUGAAGGCCUUAGGGUUGUAAAGCUCUUUCGCACGCGACGAUGAUGACGGUAGCGUGAGAAGAAGCCCCGGCUAACUUCGUGCCAGCAGCCGCGGUAAUACGAAGGGGGCUAGCGUUGUUCGGAAUUACUGGGCGUAAAGGGCGCGUAGGCGGCCUUGUCAGUCAGGAGUGAAAGCCCCGGGCUCAACCUGGGAACUGCUCUUGAUACUGCAAGGCUUGAGUUCCGGAGAGGAUGGUGGAAUUCCCAGUGUAGAGGUGAAAUUCGUAGAUAUUGGGAAGAACACCGGUGGCGAAGGCGGCCAUCUGGACGGACACUGACGCUGAGGCGCGAAAGCGUGGGGAGCAAACAGGAUUAGAUACCCCGGUAGA
rnacentral:rRNA from 1 species